rnacentral:rRNA from 1 species
AGAGCGAACGCUGGCGGCAGGCUUAACACAUGCAAGUCGAGCGGGCGUAGCAAUACGUCAGCGGCAGACGGGUGAGUAACGCGUGGGAACAUACCUUUUGGUUCGGAACAACACAGGGAAACUUGUGCUAAUACCGGAUAAGCCCUUACGGGGAAAGAUUUAUCGCCGAAAGAUUGGCCCGCGUCUGAUUAGCUAGUUGGUGAGGUAAUGGCUCACCAAGGCGACGAUCAGUAGCUGGUCUGAGAGGAUGAUCAGCCACAUUGGGACUGAGACACGGCCCAAACUCCUACGGGAGGCAGCAGUGGGGAAUAUUGGACAAUGGGCACAAGCCUGAUCCAGCCAUGCCGCGUGAGUGAUGAAGGCCCUAGGGUUGUAAAGCUCUUUUGUGCGGGAAGAUAAUGACGGUACCGCAAGAAUAAGCCCCGGCUAACUUCGUGCCAGCAGCCGC